CCAUUUUAAUUCAGAUGUCAUGCUGAUUGGCUGGACACUCAUUUCCAAAGGUUUCUACAGUGAUGUUUCACUGUAGGAGCCAGACGUUGGCUCGGAAGUAGCUCUUAACAAUGCUUCUCCAGACGCCCCGAACAAUCUGAAGAUUAAUCAGAGAAAAAAAUCCCUGCUCCAGUGUCCUGCUGUCCAUACAUGCACAUAAUUGCAGUCUGUUCUUGUUGGUUUUCUUGGAUAGGGUGGCGUCUUUGCUUACCCACCUUCUGCCAAAGUAAAAAAGCUCUGCACUGGUGGCAGCAGGAUUCUGUUGUGUCCUGCUCAGGAGCAGAAGGUCCUGCAGCUUGGUUCACCUGCAUGGAUGUCCUGACGUUUCUUCUGUGCAGCAAAACCUCUCAGCUUGGAGCUCUUAAUAAUCCAGAAACUAUUAUUCCAGCUGUAGUUUCCUGUGUGUGAGCCAGUGUUGACUGGGAUGGUGCUUUCUUUAGAAGCAGCAGUGCUGUCAGAAGAAGACAAUUAUUUCAAUGCGUCUGUUUUAGUGCACUGCUUCUUUGUUGUUGGUUUUUGCCAGAAAGGUAAGUUUCAGGUUAAUAAACCCACAUGCAGCCAGUUGAUCUGGAUCUGAUCAUUCUGAACAAUAAACCAGAGAACCUUUAGCACAGAAACUAAACUGUGACGUUUGAACAACUCAACACUCGUUAACGGACUGGCUUUAUGCAUUUAAAAAAAAACUGGGACAGAACUCAGCUCAGCGUCCUGGAGAUCUGUCAGCUAUAAGCCGCGGAGUGAUACCUCCUCUCACUCACUAGGAUCUCUGCAGCCGUCGUCUCAGCUGACACAUCCGUCCGGAUUCUUUGCCUGGAAACAUCUGAAACUAAUCGGAACCGCCGUCAGAUUGAGACGGACGGACCUCCCAGCCUGCGAAGGGUCCAUUAGGGUGGAUUCAGCUCCUGCCAAAAGUGUUUUAUCAAUGGAGGAGGAGAACUAAAAUUAGCUCCCGGGUUCGUUGAUGGGACAGAUCGACUGAGGCUGCUGGUCGGGUCAGUUUUGGACAGGGGUCGACACAGAGUCAGAAAGGAGAGGGGUGCCGAUCAGGCUGGAAGGGUGCUCCUCCCACUGAAUCGGGCCACUUGUGCACGCCAAGUCCGGCACUUGGUCAUCUUGGUGGUUGUUCACUGCAAUGGGAUGUGGCAGGACACCACUGGAGACCAUCUGACGUCCAACAUUUCUGUUAAGGUCUGUGGAAGUCUUAGCUGCUUGGCUAAAAACUAAUGAUGGGAGGAGAUCAGAGUCAUGAGAGGGAGACUGAGGAGAGACGAGGAGAAGCUGAAGAACAUCAGAAAUCUAACAAAACUAAAGCACCAGCUUCUGAAGAGACACCAGGAGAGCUGCCCCAGUGCAUGAUGGGGACCAGGAAGGUGGACAACAUGUGUUUCAUGAUCUCAUGCACCAACUGGUAUUGAAGUGGUGGAAACUGGGACUGCUGGGUGCCGAUGAAUGCUGCAUUCAUCCUUUGCUUCCAUCAGAUUGGCUGCAUUAAUCUUCUGAUGCUACUGUGGUUUUAAAGGGUUAAUUUUUCAUCAACAUCAGCUGAAGGUUCCAGAAACAUACCUCCAGGAGGUUUGGUCUUUAGUUUCCACUUUCCAGUAAAGUUUAAUCAUAUAUCUGCAGAAAACAACAGCCAGCCAUCAUUUAUUGGGACAGAUCUGUUAGUUUGCUGAAGGAAAAGCUGAGGAGCUGCUGCAGAGAAGCUCAAUGAUGACGUCAGACAGUAAAUAUGAGUGCAAACCAUCUGAGAAAUGUGUGCUGUUGCGUUGCAGUGGAGGGUCUGCAGGAUCGACUGGUUGGAGGAUGAUUCUGGAGUUACCUCCUCCUAAAAACGCUCAAACUAAAAUCAGUCUGACUGAUUGUCCACCUUUACACAUCACUGCAGGCGGCCUGUUCCUGCAAACUCAGCCGCAAAGCUAAAAUCAGAAAUGCUUUCUUUGAUAAAUUUAUAAAAAAGCUGUGUUGACUGAAGGUUUGAGAAAUUUAACAGAGUUAGUGGGAAAUGAAACCUUCCUGGUUCAGGAACAUUUGGUAGAAACAUGGCUGCUGUUGAAUUUUCUUUCUGUGUCAGUAAACCAGUUUCCCUUCACUUCCUUCACAGAAAGUCUUCAGUUUCUCUGCAGGCAUAACUGAAAUGAUGCAACUUCCUACAGAAUAAAAUGUGUUGUUGGAUAAACUGAUUGAUGUGAAGGUGAUACAUCUGUAAACAGAUUUAUAGGAAUUACUGUUGGUUUGAUGCAAAAUAAAGAUUAAAAUUAAUAGAUAA